GACGAAGGAUGCAAGCGUUAUCCGGAUUCAUUGGGCGUAAAGGGUGCGUAGGCGGCGCGGUAAGUCGGGUGUGAAAUCUCGGGGCUUAACUCCGAAACUGCAUUCGAUACUGCCGUGCUUGAGGACUGGAGAGGAGACUGGAAUUUACGGUGUAGCAGUGAAAUGCGUAGAUAUCGUAAGGAAGACCAGUGGCGAAGGCGGGUCUCUGGACAGUUCCUGACACUGAGACACGAAGGCCAGGGGAGCAAACGGG
rnacentral:rRNA from 1 species